GCAUUAUACCGCGAAACUGCGAAUGGCUCAUUAAAUCAGUUAUCGUUUAUUUGAUAGUGCCUUUCCUACUUGGAUAACCGUGGUAAUUCUAGAGCUAAUACAUGCUAAAAAUCCCGACUUCGGAAGGGAUGCAUUUAUUGGAUACAGAACCAACGCCCUCCGGGGCUUUCUGGUGAAUCACAAUAACUCCGCGGAUCGCACGGCCUUGCGCCGGCGAUGGUUCAUUCAAAUUUCUGCCCUAUCAACUUUCGACGGCUGGGUCUUGGCCAGCCGUGGUGACAACGGGUAACGGAGGGUUAGGGCUUGACCCCGGAGAAGGAGCCUGAGAGACGGCUACUACAUCCAAGGAAGGCAGCAGGCGCGCAAAUUACCCAAUCCCGACUCGGGGAGGUAGUGACAAUAAAUACUGAUCCAGGGCUCUUUUGGGUCUUGGAAUUGGAAUGAGUACAAUUUAAAUCCCUUAACGAGGAACAAUUGGAGGGCAAGUCUGGUGCCAGCAGCCGCGGUAAUUCCAGCUCCAAUAGCGUAUAUUAAAGUUGUUGAGGUUAAAAAGCUCGUAGUUGAACCUUGGCCCUGGCUGGCUGGUCCGCCUCACCGCGAGCACUGGUCCGGCCGGGGCUUUCCCUCUGGGGAUCCUCAUGCCCUUCACUGGGUGUGCUGGGGAACCAGGACUUUUACUGUGAACAAAUCAGAUCGCUCAAAGAAGGCUCUCGCUCGAAUGCUUCAGCAUGGAAUAAUGAAAUAGGACGCGCGGUUCUAUUUUGUUGGUUUCUAGGACCGCCGUAAUGAUUAAUAGGGACAGUCGGGGGCGUCAGUAUUCAAUUGUCAGAGGUGAAAUUCUUGGAUCAAUUGAAGACUAACUACUGCGAAAGCAUUCGCCAAGGAUGUUUUCAUUAAUCAGGAACGAAAGUUAGGGGAUCGAAGACGAUCAGAUACCGUCGUAGUCUUAACCAUAAACUAUGCCGAUUAGGGAUCGGACGAUGUUAUUUUUUGACUCGUUCGGCACCUUACGAUAAAUCAAAA
rnacentral:rRNA from 1 species